rnacentral:rRNA from 1 species
UACGUAGGGUGCAAGCGUUAAUCGGAAUUACUGGGCGUAAAGCGUGCGCAGGCGGUUAUGCAAGACAGAUGUGAAAUCCCCGGGCUCAACCUGGGAACUGCAUUUGUGACUGCAUGGCUAGAGUACGGCAGAGGGGGAUGGAAUUCCGCGUGUAGCAGUGAAAUGCGUAGAUAUGCGGAGGAACACCGAUGGCGAAGGCAAUCCCCUGGGCCUGGUACUGACGCUCAUGCACGAAAGCGUGGGGAGCAAACAGG